UGGGGAAUAUUGCACAAUGGGGGAAACCCUGAUGCAGCAACGCCGCGUGAGUGAUGAAGGCCUUCGGGUUGUAAAGCUCUGUCUUUGGGGACGAUAAUGACGGUACCCAAGGAGGAAGCCACGGCUAACUACGUGCCAGCAGCCGCGGUAAUACGUAGGUGGCAAGCGUUGUCCGGAUUUACUGGGCGUAAAGGGAGCGUAGGUGGAUAUUUAAGUGGGAUGUGAAAUCCCCGGGCUUAACCUGGGGGCUGCAUUCCAAACUGGAUAUCUAGGGUGCAGGAGAGGGGAGUGGAAUUCCGAGUGUAGCGGUGAAAUGCGUAGAGAUUAGGAAGAACACCAGUGGCGAAGGCGACUCUCUGGACUGUAACUGACGCUGAGGCUCGAAAGCGUGGGGAGCAAACA
rnacentral:rRNA from 1 species